rnacentral:sRNA from 1 species
AUUGGAAAUCUGGCGAUGGAGGGAGGAGGAGGUAUACCCCUAGAAACACUUAAAGAAGAAAGUCAGUCAAGACAUGUUCUACCUGCAAGUUUUGAAGCCAACAGUUUGCAGAAGAGCAACUGGGGGUUCUUACUUACUGGGCUUGUGGGUGGCACCCUGGUGGCUGUGUAUGCUGUAGCCACGCCGUUUGUAACGCCAGCCCUUCGAAAAGUCUGUUUGCCGUUUGUACCUGCAACUACGAAGCAGAUUGAAAAUGUUGUGAAAAUGUUGCGAUGCCGAAGAGGAUCCCUUGUAGACAUCGGUAGUGGCGACGGACGCAUUGUCAUAGCGGCUGCGAAGGAAGGGUUCACAGCAGUUGGUUAUGAAUUAAACCCAUGGCUAGUUUGGUAUUCCAGAUACCGUGCUUGGCGAGAAGGUGUGCAUGGAUCUGCCAAAUUUUAUAUUUCGGAUUUGUGGAAGGUAGGUAAGGCAGAGAAUGGCCUUAGAGAAAUCCAAGGGAAAAUUUUAUUAUUCAAAAUUAGUAUGACUGAGAACUGAAAAAUGUAUUAAAAGAAAAAUAAUUAAAAUCCAAGUGAAUAUUCUGGCAUAAUGAAAUAUGUAAAAUUGAUACAUUUUCCAAAUAGUCUCCUUUAGAGAGAAGCUUAAAGUUUUUGUGUGAUAGGUCUUGUGAAUUCCAAGAAUUUAUUUACUAAAUUAAAAUGUUGUCAUUUCUGUUUCUUACAAAAUAAUAAGAUUUUUCAUCUUAUUUGGAAAUCUUAUAAAUUAUUAUUGAUAAAUAUUAGACUUUUC